UUUGUCGCGUUGUUCGUGAAAUCUCACGGCUUAACUGUGAGCGUGCGGGCGAUACGGGCAGACUUGAGUACUGCAGGGGAGACUGGAAUUCCUGGUGUAGCGGUGGAAUGCGCAGAUAUCAGGAGGAACACCGGUGGCGAAGGCGGGUCUCUGGGCAGUAACUGACGCUGAGGAGCGAAAGCGUGGGGAGCGAACAGGAUUAGAUACCCUGGUAGUCCACGCCGUAAACGGUGGGUACUAGGUGUGGGUUUCCUUCCUUGGGAUCCGUGCCGUAGCUAACGCAUUAAGUACCCCGCCUGGGGAGUACGGCCGCAAGGCUAAAACUCAAAGAAAUUGACGGGGGCCCGCACAAGCGGCGGAGCAUGUGGAUUAAUUCGAUGCAACGCGAAGAACCUUACCUGGGUUUGACAUGCACAGGACGCCGGCAGAGAUGUCGGUUCCCUUGUGGCCUGUGUGCAGGUGGUGCAUGGCUGUCGUCAGCUCGUGUCGUGAGAUGUUGGGAUAAGUCCCGCAACGAGCGCAACCCUUGUCUCAUGUUGCCAGCGGGUAAUGCCGGGGACUCGUGAGAGACUGCCGGGGUCAACUCGGAGGAAGGUGGGGAUGGCGUCAAGUCAUCAUGCCCCUUAUGUCCAGGGCUUCACACAUGCUACAAUGGCCGGUACAAAGGGCUGCGAUGCCGUGAGGUUAAGCGAAUCCUUUUAAAGCCGGUCUCAGUUCGGAU
rnacentral:rRNA from 1 species